rnacentral:rRNA from 1 species
UACAGAGGGGGCAAGCGUUGUUCGGAAUUACUGGGCGUAAAGGGCGCGUAGGCGGCCUGUUAAGUCGAACGUGAAAUCCCCGGGCUCAACCCGGGAACUGCGUCCGAUACUGGCAGGCUUGAAUCCGGGAGAGGGAUGCGGAAUUCCAGGUGGUAGCGGUGAAAUGCGUUAGAUAUCUGGAGGAACACGGUGGCGAAGGCGGCAUCCUGGACCGGUAUUGACGCUGGAGGCGCGAAAGCCCAGGGGAGGCGAAACGGGAAUUAGAUCCCGGGGGUAGCCAAGA